rnacentral:rRNA from 1 species
UACAGAGGGUGCAAGCGUUAUUCGGAAUUACUGGGCGUAAAGCGUGCGUAGACGGUUAUGUAAGUCGGGUGUGAAAGCCCCGGGCUCAACCUGGGAAUUGCAUUCGAGACUGCAUAGCUAGGGUGCGGAAGAGGGAAGCGGAAUUUCCGGUGUAGCGGUGAAAUGCGUAGAUAUCGGAAGGAACACCAGUGGCGAAAGCGGCUUCCUGGUCCAGCACCGACGUUCAGGCACGAAAGCGUGGGGAGCAAACAGG